rnacentral:lncRNA from 1 species
CAACUCAUCCUAUAUGUAAACAAUCUCAAAAAUUCAUAACAACUCCAUAAGAGAGAUGGAAGAAGUGAAGUAAAAAAAAAACACGAAUUCAAGUAAAAUUCACUACUUUGAGGAACUCGAUUAUGAAAAUAUCGAAUGCAAACAUAAAUUGAACAACAAAUUAAAUCCAACGUGCAUAAAUAAUAAGCAAUAUCAGUAAAAAAUACUUAACAGAUCAAUAACGGAGACCCAUUUGAGAGUAGAGUAAACGGAUUCGGGAUCGUCGGGGUUGUAGGACUCCUUAACGGACUUAACGACUCCGGCGAAUGCCUCCUUCUCCCGCUUCGUCUCCUCCGCCACGGGCGGCGGCAGCCACGCGUUGUACAGAUGCAUUGGGUGUAGUAAAUUUGAUUGCGGAUGAUGAGAAAAAAAGAAAAGGGGGAAAAUCAAAUAGCAAAAGCAAACCCCUCGCAGUGUGUGCAAAAAAGAAACUGGGCACUGUUGUAAAAUCUUUGGGGUAUAGAAAUAAAUAUUUAUUUAUAGAUACAUAUUUGUGUAUGAAUGUGGGAUUUAAAGAAAAGUCUUCGUUACUUUCUUUUUGGACAAGAAAAAAGGAAAGAGAAAAUAUCAAUCGUGGCUAUGGAAAUUGAGAUCGACGGUGGUGGGGUGGGGUUAAAAUUGGAAAGUAAAAUAUAAAUGAGAUUUACAGCAAGAGAAUUUGGUUGAUUAAACUUGGAAAGUAAAUACAGAUUGGGUAAGUAAAAUUGGAAAGUGAAUAUAGAUAGAAUUUACCGCAAUUAAUUUUGUUUGACUUUUAAGUGGAGAAAAAACGCGUUUUAUGAUGAUGUGAGGCAUGAGGUAUCUGUUUAAAAGCGUGUUUUUCUUAGUUAGCUUAGCCGCUGAACUUUACCACAUGGUUAUGGGCCUUUGGCUAAAUGCGAUUUAUGGGCCUAUGGCCGAGUGCAGACCUAGUAACUUAGAGAAAUUACAACUACCCUGCGGUACGAGGUAUGGUUAAUUUACGAAAAAAUAUCUCUUGUUUGGAUAAUUAAAUUUACUCCUCAAUUAUGAUUUUUUCUUACACAUCCACCCUUAUGGUGUCAAAUUCAAAAUAAUCAUCUAGAUUUCGUGGAAUGUGCUCUAGUUUGUACUCGUUUUGUGUAAAAGUACAGUUUUUGAUGCACCACAGUCUGAUAUAUACAAGCCACAAAACACAUAUUAUGAUCAUCUUCUUCAAAAUAUGGAGUUUGAAUGGGAUAAAGCGGAUACAAAAGUGAUAAUAUUCUAUAUAAUCUCGAAGAUUACACUAAAUUUGAAACCGAAUGGUGCACGUGUAAAAAAAUUUAUAGUUGACGGGUGAUUGUAAUCACCCAAACACUAGGGGGUUUCGUAAUUUGACCAUAUCUCAGAAGUGUGGUUGUAUUUUACCCCAACUUAAAAAACGGUAAAUUACGGUCUAACACCUAAGGUAGUUUCAAGAGAUAUUACUGAAACUAUAUAGUGGCUUUUUUUAUAGAAAAAAAUUAGGAGAUUAUGAAAAUGCAAAAAUUAAAAAUGAAAAAUGAAAAAAUUAUAUAGUUUUCGUCCUUUAAGUUAGCAUUGAUUUCACAUUUGGUGUCCCAUGUUCACAAGAAACACGUUCGAUCAUUCAUGUUUCAACAAUUUGAUAUUUUUUGUCAUUUCCCGUUAAUUAUCCUUUGGUCCGUCAGUAAAGAGAGAUGAAUACAUGUUUGGUUUCCUUAGUAGUAACGGAAAAUUAACGGAAAUGACCGAAAAUGUUAAAUUGUUGAAAAAUGAAGGAUUAAAAUCUGUUCUUUGAGAAUUUGGGAGUCCAAAUGUGAAAUUGAGGUAAACUAUCGGGGUGAAAAUGUAAUUUUCCCGAAAAAUGAAGUAUUAUUAAAGGAUCUAUCUGGGAAAUUUGACCGUUGGGUGUCUCCCAAAAAUAUGACCGUUGCCACUCGAGGGUUUCUUCUCCGUUUAAAUAUCUGGAAACACCCCUCUGUUUCUGUCACCAUAUCUAUCAACACCAACAACUCUUUCUCUCAAUCUUCAAGCGCAAUUCUCUAAUUAUUCUUUUAAUUUCUUAUUUUCCGCAUUUAUUUAAUUUAUUUAUUUAUUUAAUUUUCUGUACUGUUAUCUAUUUUUCUCACGAGAAAAUCCCCAAAUACAUCAAUGGCGGAAAUGAAAGACGCUCACAUCGUCGAAAUUCCAGUAGACGAAGAGCACCAGCAGAAACUCUCCUCCGCCUUGCAAACGAUCUCCGCCAUCCAGAACCAUCCACUGGCGGAGAUCUCCCAAAGCUCCGGCCACUUUCUGCUCCUCAAGCUCUGGCAGAGAGAAGAGGAUAUCUCCGGCCGGAGAAUCUCCCGGAAGGAAUCUAGAAAGGACGCGGUCGGGAGAGAAAUCUUCCAGCUCUGCUGCUUCUUCUUCGUAUUCCACGGCCUAUUCCUCACGAUCCUGUUCGCAUCGUCCUCCUCGGUGGCCGGCGAUCGGUGCCAAAAGUGGUGGAUACCUUCGAUUUUGUCGCUCUGCACCUCCCUCGUGCUUGUGUUCCUCGUUCAAUUGAAGCUUUGCAGGUACUGGAAAGUGGAUCGGCAGUUGCAGAGGGAUCGGGCCGAGGGCCGGGCCCUGACCAGGUGCAUUCAGGAAUUGAGGAUGAAAGGUGCCAGCUUCGAUCUGAGCAAGGAGCCGUUGAUUAACGGGAAGAGAUUGAAGAGCUCGAGCGUCGAGAUCAAAUGGAGGCCGCUCACUUGGUGCUCGAAUUAUAGAGUGACUGUUUUUCUUUUUUGUUUUGCAGGUUUAGUUUUGCCCUGCUGCAGAUUCAUCCUCUGUGCUUGAAGAUGAUUUCAUCCAUUGAGCUGCUGCUUUUUCUCAAACCCCAAAAAUAAGUGGUAAAAAAAAAAUUCAGUUACAUUUUGUGAAUCAAAAUGCUUAGAUUCUAUUUUUUUGCUAAUGAUUUGUGAAUUUGGAAUUUCAGAAAGAUGUGGAAUGGCUACUUUGCAUUGGUUCAUUUCUUUACAAGGGGAAUGAAGCUCUCUUGGUCCGAUUGUUCUAUUCUCCAUCGACGAAAUCACGACAUAGAAAGAUUACACACGCGUUUUGUUACGAGUUCAAACUGACAACAGACAAGAAGAAGAAUUGUCUCGUUGGAGUCGAAAUGUGAUAUAGAAACACUGCUUGUGUACCAAUUUUAUGAUCAGAAUUGAAAAUCCCUUGUGUACAUAGCAAACACAAUUGAACAACGAUAAAUUAAUAAUCUCGUUUAACGAAUAAUUUUUCCCGGUCCCGCCUCGUAGUAAACGUAUUCAAUUAUUAGUUCGACCUGAAUUAGUUCAUAGAGAGUUUGUUGUUUGGGGAAGGAUUUCAUUUAAGCUGGGAUAUGAUUUGCCAGGAAAUACUUUAAAAUCACAGAUUGUUUGGACUUUUGCUAUUAUUAAAAGUUACUUCUGCUAUAAGUUUUUUUUUUUUUUUUUUAUUCUGAUAAACACUCAAUUAAAUAAGUAUUUGAUUGACUAAUCAAAUAAAAUUUGUAUUAUUCAGAGUUUACUUGUAAACAGAGACUAAUCAAUUACAAAAUAAAUAUGAAAUGAAAUAUAUUGAGUCAACCUCCGAAAUACAUGGAGAAAAAGGCUACACCGUGGCCAAUCCGUAUGAUUGUGAUCCCACUUGCGAAAUCUGAUUAAUCAAAAGUAACAUCACAAAUCACAACUACCAUUCUCCUUCAUCUACGCUAUUAUUCAUUCUCUAUUAUUAUUUAUAUAUUUAUAUUUAUUUUGAGAAAAUAGAAAAGGAGAAUUAAAUAAAGUAGAAAAGAAAAAUGAAGCAUCAACUACAAGAAAGGAGAUCGAACAGUCGACAAAGGAAGGCCCCAUGAUUGAGGGCCAAAACCAAUGAUGGGUUUGAUGACCACUUUAGGCACCUGUUCUUGUUGCACCACAAUAAAGUUUCUUCAUAUACAGUGAAAGUGGUUUGCCCUUUUCCAUUAACAUGGUGAAAAGUAAUCACAAAAGUUGGAGCUUUUAGUACAAAUAUUUUUAUUUUCUUUCACACUUUUUUUAAAUGUUUAAACUCAACAGCUUGAAAUUACCCAAAACGUUGGUCGAUUUAUGAUUUUAUAUUUUAAUUAGGGACCCAAGUUUUCAACGGGCUUUUUCAAAUGAGUUUUCGUGAAUUUUCACGAGCUCGAAACAAAUUUUAGAUGAUUAAGAUACUCUAACCUUUGAAUAAAAAAAAAAAAAAAUGGACUUAAAUUUGGCUCGUAUUUGGUUGUUCUCGUGUUCUUGAAUCGAUUGGUGAUAGACAUUGGUCGGAUCUAUGAGAUUACAACGACCAUAUAGAUGUAAAAUAUUCCAUUUAAAUUUCAAGUGUCUAUAAAAUCUCGAGCUCGUGAGAUCGAGUCUAAACUUAUGUUCAGUUAGUUUAUGAAACUCGUAAAUAAAGGUGUUAAUCGAGGAUUAAAUUAAAAUUAGAGCUAUUGAAAAAAAAAUCAAUUAUAUUGGAGGUUAACUCCAAAAGAAUAGAAUUUUCGUAAUUAUUUUUGAAAAUCAUAAACAGAAGAAAAAAAUUCAAAUCUUAAUUAUAUAUAAAAUAUUUUUUUUUGGAAUUCGAAAUGAAAAAUAAAAUGAUGACAAGGCUACUAUGGAAAUUAGUAAAUAUGGAAAAAUAGUAACUGCCCUUAAUGCUGAGUCAGCACCAACUGGCACCGUAGUCCAGCUGUACACACCAGUCAUUCUCAACAUCAUCAACAGCAAAGUCCUCUGAACUAUAGGGUCUCUCUCUCUCUCUCUCUCUAUUCUCUCUCUCUUCUCUCUCUCUCUCAUCACUUCAAUAAAUACAUGGCCCUCCUUUCACAUUUUUCCUCCCCUUGUUUUACUGUCUCCCUUUGCUAUUUGCUCCACCGACUCACCGCCUACUAGUUACUGAGUUCAGCAGACAGUUAAAUCGCUGGUGGUCAGAUCUGAAGGCGGUGAUCGCUAUCUUCGCUGCCGGAAACGAUGUCGUCCGGAAGGUACAUGGCGUACUCACCGUCGCCUUCCGCUCCUCACUCUCCUCACAUCGGCGUUUCCGCGGCCGGGAGUCUCCGCGCCGCUUCUGCUCUGGUCGAGCAGGAAAAGUAAUUUUUUAUUUCUUAUUUUUUUGUGAUCCUUUCCUUUUUAUAUCCUUCAAUACAAAGAGAUUUAGGUAUAUACUGAGCUAGAUCUUGCGGAAUUCGGUAUUUGUGUUGUUAUGGUAGUCAAAUGAUUAAAUCUGUGAAUUUUACGUUGGCGAUGGAUGGAUAUUGAUGAAGUUUAAUUUAUUCCUUAUUCGUUGUUGAUAGAAUCUUCCUAUUAGAAUACACGGGAUGUUGAUUUGCAGUGGUAAUUAUGUCCACGUGUUCUCUAGAAUUCUUAGCGUGUUAAUUCUGAUGCUGGAAUUGCUUUUGUUGGACUAUGUUGCUUCUGGGUAUUAAGAGAUCUCUGUGGAUCUUUACGGUGCCUGAAUGUUUUGUCUGUCUCUAGAUUGAUUCCAAGCUGUAUGCAGCUUAGAUGUAGUAAAUGAAAUUUCUGUUCGGCCCCUUAAAAAACGUAGAUAUAUUAAUAGCAUCAUGAAAGCAUCUUUUUGUUUUCAUCUCAGGAAAAAGCAAAUUAUCUUUGUUUGCCUUUUUAAAUAUUAUGAUUAUCAAAUACCUUAAUGAUUCUCUGAUCUUAGAAUCAUCUUUUGCACAAAUUAUGGAGAUGUAACUUUGUUGCAAUUAAUGCUAAGAAUGUUUAUUAUUGCAACACUGACAGGUAUCUCGCAGAAUUGCUGGCUGAACGUAACAGUCUUGGUCCUUUUAUGACUGUGCUGCCAAAUUGCUAUCGGUUGCUGAAUCAGGGUGAGUUUAUGGUUCAACCUAUCUUGAGUCUCAUGUAUAGUAAUAAAGAACUGCUCUGUUGAGAAAAUUAAAAGUUUUUACUUUUCGAUGACACUAGAAUACCUUCAUACAUCAUAUGUGGUCCUGUCUGAUAGUAUUGGAGCUACGGUGUCUAACUUUGAAGCUCAUUUCGUUCUUAUUUAGAAACCAUGAUAUGUCGUAUUUGAUAUCUUGUGUUAUGCGAUGGAUGAAAAUUAUUGAGUGAGAGAUAGAGGGAGCGGACCGACUGUUGGAUAUGGGCAGAUAACAUAUUGUUGAUGUACCAUUGGCUUUUUUUCCAUUGAUACAUUCUCAUGCUCGUGUGCUAUGUGUGGAUUUGUGCUUAUGCCCCAAUUGCUCACCCCAUACUGCAUUAUGCAGUGUGCUUAGGGAAUUUGCUUGCGUUACAAAAUUUAUAUUGGCUCUUUAGAUGAUUUUGAUAGGGCUGAUUGAAUCCCUAUUAAUGGAGACAAUUGUUUGAUUAUUAACUAGAAACACUUAGAAAUAAAACUGCAAGAAUUUGCAUCAUAUACUCCGUCUGAAAUUCUGAAUUAAGCUGUUGUUAUGGUCUUUGGGUUACGAGCAAGUUCAUGUCACAGAGAAAAGGUCGAGGAAAAAGGAAAGCUGUGCGAAAAAAAAAAGACUAAUUGAUUUAUUUAUAAUAUUUAGUCUCUGUAUUUGCAUAUUGAUCUUGACAUUUGACAAUAAUUUUAAGGUUUGCAUUUUGGUAAGCAGAGGCCUCUUAGAAGGAUGCCCUGCUCAGUUUUUUAAUCAAAUGAUAAAGGAGAUGCCUCCACUGAAUUUGCUUUGUAUUUUCACUUGCCCUUUUACUUUUCCUGUGUAUACUGGCACCCUUGGUGGUCUCUUCGUGCUACGUAAGCACCUUUAUGCUAGUACCAGUCUAGGUUAAUACUGUGCUGUAUACUUAUUUUCCCAUAUUGGGUGUCCUAUGCAGUGGCUAACUACAGAGUUUUGGGCUAUAAUACGGUCCAAUUAAGAACUUCAGUAAUAUAUUUUGGGCAUUCCUGAUGGUAUUUGUUGAACAUUUUUAACUUCACUAGAUCUCCUUUCCUUUUCCAGGAGUUUAACUAACAUGUUUAACAGCCCGUACUGUGUCCAUGUUGUGGUGACUGAUCGCUAAUUUCUUAACCAAUGCUAACUGGUACAUCUUAUUCUUGGAAAUUGAACUUUUUGAAGCAGAAAUAGUGCGUGUAACUACACUGUUGGCGAGUGCAUCAGUUUUAGAACAAAGUGGGCUUGAACAUGCUAGCCCCCUGGCUUCAGGAGGAAUGUAUUCAAAUGGAGGAGCUAACGUGAACAGAUGGGCCUCACCAUUUCAAUCAGAAGUAUGGAUACUAACCAUUAACAUAACUUGUUGUUUGAUCUAAUUCUUUACUGUUUUCACUGCUCUCCAACAAAAUCUUUAUUUCCAUCCUAACUUUAUUGUUUCAUUUUGAUGAUUUUCAGUUUAACGUAACACGAAAGUAGUUUGACACUAACAACUCUAAGAAUGACAUAUAGAGUUAGAGCAGACACAGAACUUAACUUAUAUAGUUAGAUUUGCGCCAUAUUUUGCAAUGAUCUGAUAGCCCAUAUGUGACUUAUGUCAACCGCUUUCAGCUUGUUAACAUACAUUAACAUGUUAGAAGGUAUAACUCUAAUCUUAUUUGGAUGAUAUUAAUUUGAUUUUGGUAUUCGAGUCUCUAAUCUUGACUUCUAACAAAGUUCUUAACCUGUUCAUCUGCUAGUUAAGCAUUGUAAAUACUUCAGAUAUAUAAACUGUAAUGGUCUUUGAGAGUUGAUAGCAAUGCCAAAAAGUUCUCUUGUGAAAUCUGUUCUCUUAGACGUGUCUUUUGCUUGUACUUGGAUAUGUUCCAUUGUCUUGUUUCAUGCAGUUCUGCUCGUCAGUCCUUUCAAGAUGCUUUCGGUUUUUUUCAUUCUGUUAGCCCCAUUCAAUUCAGAAAUAUAUCAAUUAGUGGCAUUAAAUGUAGAGAGAACACACGAGGGAAGGGAAUAUCUUUCAGCUGUUCCUAAUGUUUUAUUUCCUCACAAUAUGUGGAAUUAUAAUAUGCAGAUGUCAGGUUUGAUGCAAUCAUCUAAUGCACAGAACUGGCUUGGUUCCCAAGGUAGUUCAUCAGGUCUCAUAGUCAAGCGAACAGUCAGGGUUGACAUUCCAGUUGACCAAUUUCCUAAUGUACUAAUUCUUUACCAAGUACUGUUUUUCAUGAUGUGUGAUUCUUAGCUACUGUUUAUUUCACAUUAUUCUAUGUUUGGUAUUGCAGUAUAAUUUUGUUGGGCGCCUCCUUGGUCCUAGAGGGAACUCUCUGAAGCGAGUCGAAGCAACUACUGAUUGCCGUGUUCUAAUCAGAGGCCGUGGCAGUAUUAAGGAUCCAACAAGGGUAAUUCGAAUUUGGCCUCUUAUCAUUAUUUCUUCCAGAUUUAUAGGACAAAAUAACAUCCAUCUGAAAAGAAGAUUAAUUUUUUCAAAGUUCUUUAUCAUUGCAUGCAUAUAAUCCGUAGUUAUAAUUCGGAAGUCUACAAAUUACUAAUAGUCAGAAAACGCCCUUCUCUUUAAGGUACUUCUUUGUCUGUAUAAGAAUGACUGCGAGUGAGUGAACUUAUUGAUUCGAUACAAGAUAGACUCACUUGUUCACUUCUUCAUUAUGCUGUGUUUAUAUUUAAAUCCAUAGUUGUUCCAGUUAAUGUUUAUACUGUUCUCGUCAUUUUUUUCUCCAAAUGGAGCUGUAACAUCCGAAUGUCCUCGGUAUUCAAAUAGAAACUCCUCCUAAUGCUUACCUAGUCAGCACUCUGAUUGGAUUCCAUAAAUUUGAUUUGGAUUUCUCUUUUGCUAGUAGCCUUCCGUUCGAUUAUUUUUGUUACAUUGAACUAUAACUUAUUUUUUACACUAGCUGCAAAUUGCUAAUGACACGUGCUUGUAUAUUUUUUGAUCUAAAAGGAAGAGAUGAUGAGGGGGAAACCAGGAUACGAACACCUUAAUGAACCUCUUCACAUACUCGUUGAGGCAGAACUCCCAGUCGAUAUAAUCGACGCUCGUCUAAUGCAGGCACGCGAGAUACUCGAAGAUUUACUCAAGCCAAUGGUUUAACUUCUACCCACCGUCCAAAUUUCCUUUCUUUAGCAAUAUAAUAUAUAUUCCCGUUUUCACAAAUUCUCCAUUUCUCAUCUCGUAAUAUCUUAAUGCAGGACGAAUGUCAAGAUUUUUAUAAGAAGCAGCAGCUAAGAGAACUAGCUUUGCUUAAUGGUACACUCAGGGAAGAAGACUCUCAAAUGUCUGGUUCUGUUUCACCUUUCCACAACAGCCUCGGAAUGAAGAGAGCUAAAACUAGGGGGUAAAAUAUUUCGGAGCUUAGAUUAUAUAUGUUCGUCUCUGCAUGUGAACCAGGAGUUCACAGUACACAGGUUCUGAUGUGCCAGCCGAUCGGGGCACUGGUAAACUGUCGAGUGCCAGUUCUUAUCUGUCUCUAUAUAUAAUAUGAGGUGUGCUUUUGUUUAUUUAUAUACUUCUGGGCAUUAGAUUUAGUAGCGUUUGUUAUCGUAUUUAACGGAUCCUUAUUCCCGAGGGGUUUGAUUUUGUAUGGUUCCUAGGCAGCUUGGUAGGGGUGGAAUAUUCUCUGAAUAUACUCUCUCUCCGACUACUGUCGUAUUAUUUCAUUUAUUACAAGCUUGUGAGAAGUAAGAAGUGAUUUAUUGUAGUACUACUGUGUGGAAUUACGUCGAAAAAUUUGUUUAAUUAUUAUUUUCUGCUCAUUCGUGUAAUAUACGAGAUUAUCUUUGAACUCUGUGUUUAUUCAUUACUGUUAGUAUAUAUUCUACUGUUAGCAACUCAAUAAUAAUAUUAUUGCAGAGCAACAAUGUUACAAUGGUGAAGAAAAUGAUGAAGGGUCAGGAUUAAAAACCUUGAUCCAACGGAUGUGAUGGCCACAAACCUUAACACGUGCACUUUUUUUUUUUAAUGUAAUUGUAUGACAUGCAAUGUAGUUACUAUUUAAGAACAUAAUAUUCGGUGAGAUCAAGGUAGAUUUUCACCAAGGCCACAGUAUACAUAUAUAGAAUUAAUCAUUGUUUACUGAUAACUAAUAUGUAGUAAUUAACUAGUAAUCAACUGGAAGGACAAAAAAAUAUUUACUAAUUAAUUAUUAAAUUUAUUACUUGGCACGCCGGCGUAGCAUGGACCAUGGUGGCGGAGCAUGCCUUUUUCCACCGUUAAUGGCCUGGCAUGCACGGCCUGUAUAUAUAGUAUGUAUGUAUAGGUAUUAGCCGUAGCAUUAUUCAUUUUCUGAUUCAAGGUGUUGAAGAAAACUGAUCAUUCAUCAAUGGCGGCUGCUCAGAGAGUUCAGAGAGAACUGAAAGAAAUGCAGAAGGACCCUCCUUCCUCCUGCAGCGCUGGUGCAUAUAAUAUAUAUAUAACAUUUGUCAGUUUUUUAGAGAAAUUAAAAAUAUAUAUAUUUAAACUAAUAAAAAUAACGAUUAAUGGAUGCAGGGCCUGUGGGCGAAGAUAUAUUCCACUGGCGAGCCACCAUUAUCGGGCCGUCGGGCAGCCCAUUUUCCGGUGGGAUAUUCGCUUUGGAUAUUCAUUUCCCACCGGACUAUCCAUUUAAACCACCCACUGUACCUAACUUAACUAAUUAUAUCCUUCAAUUAAUCAACUUUUUUUUUUUUUUGUUAUUUAAUUAUUAUUUCUCACUUUAAUUAAUUAAUUAAUUAAUUAGUUGUGAUCGGGCAGGUGUUUUUUAAAACAAAGAUUUACCAUCCAAACAUCAAUGGAAAUGGCACUAUUUGUCUGGAUAUCCUCAAAAAUCAGUGGAGCCCUGCCCUUACUAUAUCAAAGGUAUUUUUAUUUUAUUUUAUUUCUCAUUAUUCACUACAACAAUCUUCACUAAAACAUAAUAAUUUAUAUAAUUUGUUAAUUAUACACAGUUGAACCUCUAUAAAUUAUUACAGUCGUCGAACUAGCGAAAUUCAAUUAAUUUAGCGCUAUACUAAUUUAUCGAAUUAAUAAUUUAGUACGUUUUUAUCGAACUAGAAAAAUUAUUAUUUAUUCGAAUUUAUUAAUUUAUCGAGAAUUUACUAUAUAUAUGGUGCAGGUGUUGUUGUCCAUAGGCUCUUUGUUGACCGAUCCAAACCCGGAUGACCCAUUAGAAGAACAGAUUGCUAGAAUCUACAAGGAAAAUAAAGCCCAGUAUGAAGAAACUGCUCGGAAAUGGACCCAAACCUAUGCCAUAUAAUUAAAUUAUUAUUUUUAAUUAAGUUUCAUCAAAUUAUUUCAGUAUUUUUUUCUUUCAAAAAUUAAUACUAUACAUGUAAGAAUGGAGCAUUAAUAUGCUCCAUUGGUUCUUGUUUUUUCAAUCAAUAUAAAUCCUUAUAUUAAUUCGUAAUUUUAAAUAGAUCAAUAUAUUCACAAUUGGACUAUUGUGGCCGCCAUCAAAUUCAAUUUGGGCCUAGACCAAUGGGUCAACUUAUGAAAUACUAAAAAUUUAUAAAAUACAUAAUAAAAAAAUUAAAUGAAAUUAAAUAAAUAAUAUUAGUGGUCCAUAUGUAUAUAUAUAUAUAUACUGCCACAAUAGUGUGUCCUCUUAAUUCCCUUCCCCACAUGUAUAUGUGUGGGGGGCAGAGAGAACUUGUUGAGACGUCUAUUUUAAAGCAACUACAUUUUGUAUAAAUCCAAUAAAUGAGUGUUGUAUUAUUUGGUUUCUUCUAUUUGUUUUUUAUUUUAUUAUUUAUUCAUCUUCCCUCGUUUUUUAGCCUAACUCGAAUUUCUCUGAAAAUGACACUACAUUACUAGUUACUAUAUAAUAUACCUAUUUUGGACGCCUAGCAUUUAAUUCCUGAACAUGCGAUAUUCAAAUGCUUCAUUUUUAAUUAUUAUUAUAAUAAUAAUUAUAAUAGUAAUAAUAAUAAUAAUAAUCAUAAUUCACAAUAAUAAUGAUGAAUUGAUGAUGUAGCUGUCAAAAGUCAAAAUCGAUUACAACGGCGAAAAAGGUAAUAGAUUUCCGAGGUUCCGUAGGAGGAGGAGUAGUCUCUCUCUCUCUAGUUUCUCUCUCUACGUGGUUGGGCACGGCGGAGAAACCAACGGUCCCGGUAUCAGACAAACCCUAACUGAUUCCACGUAAUGAUGAUGCAUGCAUGCUUCGAUCAACAUUAAUUCUAAUUAUUUACUAAUAAUAUAUUUGACCGUCUAAUUAUUUCAUAAUUAUUUCCUGCCCUGCACAACUCUUCAUUAAAUGAACAUCGCUCAUUUAAUGUAACACCGCUCUGUUAUGCUUUUGUCAUAUCUCCCCCGUUUUAUUUGGAUCCUUAUUUAUUAGUAAUAUUUUAUUCCCUACCCAAUAUAUAAAAAUAUAUGAUGUAGUAUAAAAAAGAAUAUUAUAUUAUAUUAUAUUAUAUAUAUAGAAUAUGACUGAACAUCGAACAUAAUAAAUGAGUCACACCGUCUCGCAUGUGACCUCAGCGGUGCUCUAUUGGCCGUAUUGGGCUUAAUUAAUUUAUUUAUUAUAACUGAAUAUUCCCAUAUAUAAAUAUUUGAUAAAAUAAAUUCACUAAACAUUAUCUAAAUUAAAUACAAUAUAACAGAUCAAACAAAAUUAAAUAUUUUACACUUAAAUUAAUUUAAGUCAAUAUUAAGUAACUACAUUAUGAAAAAUUUGAACAGAUGUAUAAAAACACACAGACAAACAUAUGUGUGUCUGUGUGAGAAAUUCUGCAGUGACUAGGCACAGGGGGUGGGGGUGGGGGUGCUGCCAUAUAUAGAAGAGAGAAUGACAAGAAAGGGUAGGGUAUGCAUGCAUAGUGUUAUGUCUGUGUCGGAAAAUGACUUGUCUGUGGACGCCCUCAGAUUUGCUUACGAUGUGUCGCCUUCUCCAAUUCUUUUUUUUUUUUCUGAUUAAAUUAUUACCUAAACCUUUUCCCCUUUACGCUUCAUAUUUCACUGCUCACUCUCUUCUAUUCACAGUCCCCUUUUUAAUGCAAUCUCCCAUCCAUUACCAUCAAUAUAUAUUUAUUAUUAUUUUAAAUAAAUAAAAAUAGGAAUUCCCUCAAUUCUUGGGAGUUGCGCCACCCCCACCUCAACUUUUCACCCCCUUUUUCCUUUUCCUCUAUUUUUAUUAUUUUAGUUAAUUUCUUUCUAUUUACCAAGUUCGGUUUGUUUGUUGUUCAAUUGAAUCUAGUAGAGGUGCGAAUUACGAGGCAACUCACCUUUCUUGAAAGGCUUGAACUCGACCAGUUGCGAUUUCCCGACUCGAAUGAGCUUUGACAAUGCAAGCUCGACUCGAGCUUUAAAAGUAAUUAGCUCAUUAAUUAUAACGUAAUUCUAUUGUUUCAUAAUAAUAAUAAUUACUAGUAUUAUUUUAUCGUAAAAUUAAAAAUAUAUAUAAAAAAAUAAAAAGCUCGUGAGCCGGCUACUAACUAUCAAACAACUACAAUUGGACUCGAGUUCAAGCUAAAAUUCGAGUUUUUGCCGAGUUGGCUCGUCGAGUUCACGAGCCGACUCAGCUCGACUAUCUAAUGGAGAAAUCUUUGAAGAUUUGGCCGUGGGUUGAACUUAGAUCCUUAAAAGAAAAGUUUAUUUAAGGAUAUGUUUCCAAUGCCCGAAAGAUUCACUGUGACACUAUGCUCCUUUUUACUAACUUUUUGCCUCCUUUUUAAAAUCGUUCUUCAUAUAUAUAUAUAUAUAUAUAUAUAUAUAUAUAUAAAUAUAAAUAAAUUAAUGUAAACUGCAGGAAUUGAUGAAAUUACAGAGGUAAAUGAUUCGGACCAACUUAAAUGAUUUGCCGUGACAUAAAAAUUGUGUUUGGUAGAUUAGAUAUAGAUAGAUACAGGCCUUUCCCCUUUCUACCUCCUUUCGUUUUCUUAGGUCUAUUGUAGCUUCUUUUCAAUUAAUCUUCUCCUAUUUCUGUUGCAGGAUUCUCGGGAAAACAGACAAUAUUUUUUUCAAUAACUAGCUACGUCCAGCUAAAAAAAAAGAAACAGAAAUUAAAUUAUGUGAUUAAAUAUGAGAAUAUUUGAAGAACAAACUAAAAUGCGAAAUAAGGUAAAUUAAUAAUAAUUUCUCACGAUUCUCACUAUAUACACGGUUUUGAAAACCUACACCUGGAUGAAAUAAUUGACGUCGGGCUAGUUAUUUAUGUAAAUGUACUAUUUAAAAUCACAGUGUAUUUCAUCGGACGUAGGAUCUCAUAAACGCGUACCCAUAUUAAAACUUUAAUCAGAACCACUAUACAUAAUGACUUUUUUAUAUUUUUAUUUUUUCUUUAUAUUGAGAAAUAUACAUAACGACUUUAAUCAAUAAUCAAAAUAAAACUUUUUUGAUGGUCGUAGACAGAAGAUCUAGUACUAGUUCAGUCACUCCACAAAAUCUAUUGGACUAUCGAACAUCUUUUUUUUUUUUUUUUUUUUUUUUUUUUUAAUUUUUCUUUUUUUGCAUAACGUGAAGUCAAUAACUGACACUGACUUUUUAUGAAGACCAGUAUAAAAUAAAUUUCAUACCUACCUUUAUUUUAUUGAUAAGAGACUGCCCUACACUUUAAUUAUUUAUUUUUUGGUUCUUAGCUGCAUAAAUCAAUCUUAUAUCAUUAGGGUUUUUAAGCUGUUUUGAAAAUAAAAUAAAAUAAAGAAAAGUUGCUCUUAUAAUUAUGUCAUUUCAUUAGUCUUCUUAGCAAACAAAAAUAUAUAUAUAUAUUAAUAUGUAUAAUGUAUGAUAUAUACAAUUGGGCCACCUUAAUCACCCGUAAAUACAACCCAUCUACAAAUAAAUAAGUUAAUUAAUCAAACCUGUUAAUUUAAGGCCAUAAGCCCAUUAAAGUUGUAAAUCUAAAAUAUAGUUAUAUUUUUGUAAUUAAGAUUCUAUUAAUUUAAUUAUAAAUAGUAACACAACAUAGUUGACUGCGGUCAAACAAUUAAAUUAUUCGAGAGACAUUAAAGAACAGUGGGCAUUUAAGAAAUAAGAAUUAAUCCAGUCAAUGUCACAAUAAUGAUAAACAAAAAUUUAAUGUCACAAGAUGAUUGAGGAAAGCUAAUUUAAUUACUAAAAUUUGUAUGAUAUCUGUUGCUCCAUUUUGGAAGUUGCUGUCACAAAAUUACUAAGUUCUUUGUAAUAAAAAAAAAAUCAUAAAUCCACAGCAGCCAUCAUUAUUUAAUUUAUUCUUUUUGUCAAAAAAACAAAUAAAAAAUGCAUUUUAAAUGAACAAGCUCCAAAUGGAAAAAAGAAAAGUAAAAAAAUAUGACCCAAUUUUGCCUCCCUUGCUUUAGCUUUAAUUAAUGAACUAUCCUAUUUAUGAUUUUGGUCCUAUCUUCUUUUUUUUUAAUAGGAAAAAAGUUAAGAGUAAAUUUGAUCACUGUAACAAAAUACUCGUAGUAAUAAUGAUGCUCAAAUUGGUUACGAAUGUUGGUGGAGUUAUUGCACACUGUAAAAUGGUUUAAUUCUCUCAUUCUCCAGCUAUAUCUAAACUACCCUAACUAACUUUUCUCUCACGUUAAUUAAUAUUUAAAAACUUUUAUAAAGAAUAAAAUAAAUGGAGUUACCCGAUGUAUGAUCAAAUUAUGGAAAAAUAUAAUAUUACCUCAUUUUUCAGUAAUUACAACGACCCUCAUCAACUAUGUAUUGUCUUUCGAAAAAUCCCCUCAUUCAAUAGGUAAAUUUAACACUAUAAGAGUGGGCAUGUAAGACAAUGUGUAGUUUAGGGAGCUAAUUGUAAUUAUCCAAACACGAGGGAUUUUUCGUAAUUUGACCGUAUCUCAAGGUUGUGACCGCAAUUUAACCUACUAUAUAUUAUUAUCAUAUUAAUUUACUGGACCUGUAAUAUUUAUUUAUUUAAAUAAAAAAUGAAAAGGCUAAUUUGGCCUCGUUUCCGGGUAAAACAAGAACUGGGGACAACCCUAGCAUGUAGCUCCACAGUAAAAGUGUUACUGCGUGCGAACGACUUUCAGCCGGCUAAAAAGAAUCUUAAAAAGUGUAAAUACAAGCACGCCGUAGCAGAUUAUUACCACCUUUUUUUUUCUUUUUUUUUUUUAAAUAUGUUAAUUGCCUUUUAAUUGAAAAUGAAGCAAAAGAAUAAUAAUUAAAUAAAAUAAUAAAAGAAUAAACAAGGACAAAUAAGCAAUAGAGAGAAGGAAAACACUGCAAGCUUCACAAGUUGGUUGAGUGUGUAGAGAGAGAAAAAAAAUAUAUAUAUAUACAGCAGAGCAGAAAAAAGCAGAGACCUAUACAUACACACACACGUAUAUCUAUGUAUCAUUAUUAAAUUAUCGUCAGAUCUUUCGUUUUCAUUCAAUCUCCAUUGCCAGAUUUUUUAUUUAAUCCUGAUAAUUCCUUUAAGAACUUUGUGUUUUUACCAGGAUUCUGUUCGUAUAUAUCUAUAUAUAUAUACCCGUAUAUAAAUUUGGCAUUUAUCGAAGAGUUGAAGAAUCGGAGAAAUCAAUGCAGUAGGGCUUUCUGCAAUUUGCGAUCCAGCUGCUACUGAUUCUGGAGUUAAUGUAAGGUUUUCCAUGGCUGUUAUUGUGAAUUGUGUGUUGCAUGUCUGCUUUCAAGCUUCCGAGUUGAAUGCGAGUCGAGAUCUGAGGGAAAUUGAUCUUAAGUUGUUUUGUUGAGUUUAAUUUCAUUGCCUGAGGAUUUAAAUGUAGAAAUGAAUUAAGGAAUAUUGUACUGUAAUUUCACCUAAUUGCUUUUGUUCUUCUUCUAUACUUAGCAGCUACGGCAAGUAGUUUUCCUUGUGUCGGUUGAACAAUUGACAAUGACAUUUGAGCUAUUUUGUGAUAAUUUAAACUUUGAUUUUUUGAUGUUUUCUUAAUCUGGGAAUUGAAGAACUAGGUGCAUUGUGAAAAUCAGGUCAAAUUUUGGUUUCCAAGAUUCUAGGUUGAUCUAUUCUGAAGUGCUGUUGCAAAUUAAAGUAGAAAAUUAAUGCGGGGAAGGGGGAUUUAAUUUUUUUAAUCAAACUUCCAUUUGAAAGUUGUGAGUUUGUUGUGUGAUUAACUGUGGAUCUACUUGGUCAAAACUUAAGGAUGAAAGUAUAUUUAUCUGUUUUUUUAAUACCUUAAAUGAAUGGGUAAAAGUUAACUCUUAUAUGAAGCAAGCAUAAUUUGAGAUCGUUGUAUUAGAUUGAGAAUUAUUUACGUUACUCUAAUCAAUUUCUUUCAUUGAUGUUGUAGUGCAACCUGGAAUUUUGCUGCGAACCAGAAACAUUGAAGUUUUUUAGACCAAAUCUUAUAUCCUUCAGCUCUUUAUCAUGAACGCUGAUAAGAUGGCAGGUGGGUAGCUUAUUAGAAUAUCUCUUUUUCUUAAUCUCGAUGCUUGUGAUAUCGUUGUCAAGGGUACAACAAUCUCCAUUAACACUUGAUUUUCAUCGUGGUUAAUCGACAUUUUAGGCCUUGAAGGAAUAGAGGUGUAUGAUGAAACAAGAGAGAGGACGGAUCAUGAGAAUUCCGAAGAUGAAAGAAGGAGAUCGAAAAUUGGGGCUUUUAGGAAGAAGGCGAUAAAUGCUUCGAAUAAAUUUACUCAUUCUCUCAAGAAAAGAGGGAAAAGGAAAGUUGAUUUUAGAUUUCCUUCUAUUUCUAUUGAAGAUGUGCGCGACGCGAAAGAGGAGAGUUCUGUUUGCGAUCUGCGUCAGAAACUUCUCGAGAAGGGAAUGCUGCCAGUUAAACACGACGAUUAUCAUACUUUGUUGAGGUGAGCUGUUUUGGGGUGGUUAAAUUUUCUGUGGAACUAGAAAUUUGGCUAUAGCUGUUUCUAUUUGUCCAUGGAAUUUGAAGUUGAUAGGAAGUGUUGUGGGAGGAUAGUUACUUUACUGAAGAACUGUAACACGGACGAAACUUAUAUAUACAUUUAUUUUCAUUUUGUUAGAUGCAUGAACUCGAACACGUUUUAUCGGUGUAAUUUUAGAGGUCAACAUUGAAAAAUUAUCUAGGGGAGUUGAUGUGCAUUUAUGGACAAGUUAGUUUUAUCAGUUUCACUUCUCCAGUAGCUUUGAAAAGCUUAGAGGUGUGAAGUGGCAAAGUAGUAGAAAUGACCCUUGCGUUACUGCCUGUCACUCACCAACCCAUGCGUUGUUACUCUGUAUUUUAUUCUAUUCCUGUACGUAGUACUUAAUGGUUCACUAAUGUCAUUGACUUUUUACACAGAUUCUUGAAAGCAAGAGACUUCAAUAUCGAAAAGACCAUCCAAAUGUGGGAAGAAAUGCUUAAUUGGAGGGUGGAGUAUGGAGCAGACACCAUAUUAGAAGUAAUUGUAGCUUACAUGCAUAAAGUAGAAAUAGUUCUCAGUGAAAGUCUAUGUGGCACACACUCACAAACACACACGCACACAUACGAGUAUUAUGAGGUUCGAAACACGAACUCUUCAAUGAUUUUCAGGACUUUGAAUUUGAAGAACUGGAAGAAGUCAUGCAAUAUUAUCCACAAGGAUAUCAUGGAGUUGAUAGAGAAGGCAGACCUAUUUAUAUUGAAAGGCUUGGAAGAGCUUACCCAAGUAAACUGAUGCGCAUCACUUCCAUCGAGCGGUACUUGAAAUAUCAUGUUCAGGAGUUUGAGAAGGCUCUGAAUGAGAAGUUCCCAGCAUGUUCCAUUGCUGCAAAGAGACGUAUCUGUUCUACCACAACAAUUUUGGAUGUACAAGGCCUGGUAAGUUGAUAACUUUUCAACAACCAACCGAAUCAAUACUGUUCUAAUCGUAGUGAAUUUUCUCCUCAUAGAUGUUAUUGGUUCUGAAGUAACGGUCAUAAUUGGUGAUUGCAGGGGGUUAAAAAUUUCACAAAAACAGCUGCUAGUCUAUUGGCUUCCAUGGCAAAGAUUGAUAAUAGUUUCUAUCCAGAGGUUUUUAUUUUAUUUUUAUUUUUUCUUUCAAGAACAUCUUUAUUUUAUUCUUAUUUUUUCUUUCAAGAACAUCACAUAUCAGAUUUUGUUAUUAUCUAUUCACUUCUAAUUAUUUCCAAUUAUAUACGCAGACACUCCAUCAUAUGUACAUUGUUAAUGCUGGACCUGGAUUCAAGAGACUACUUUGGCCUGCUGCCCAGAAGUUUUUGGACACAAAAACUAUGGCUAAAAUCCAUGUAAAUAUGGUUUUUCUUUUUUCUCCCCAACUAUAUCUUUUUGUCCAUUUUUUGCAACUUCUCUUGAUUGACAAAUGUAACUCCCAAUGCAGGUAUUGGACCCCAAGUCUUUGGGGAAACUACUGGAGGCUGUUGAUCCAUGGUAUGAUAAUGUCUUAUGCAUCACUUUCUACUUAGUUGUCCAACAAAACAAUCAUCUAACUUCUUUUUUCUAUUCACAGUCAACUCCCUGACUUUUUGGGUGGAUCAUGCAACUGUAAUAUUGAGGGAGGUUGCCUAAGGUCAAAUAAGGGUCCGUGGAAUGACCCUGAAAUAAUGAAGGUAAAGACGCGAUGGAGGGUAGUUCAUGCCCUUUCUUUCUUCUGUCUUUCAAAAUAUGCAAGGUUAUCGAACUAUCUAUCUAUAUGUUUCUGGGUUGCUUAUAAUGGUAAAUAUCUGCUUAAUUUGUAGGUUGUGUGUAGUGCAGAAACAAAUCUUGUGAGGCGAACCGAUAGAACAGCCACUGACUGGUACAUCAAAAUCCAGCCACUGAAGGUAGUAAAUGCAAAAAAUGAGGGUUUCUAGAUGUCUAUUCCAUUAUAAAGUUUCUGAUAUAUAUACCAAAAUUUUCAGGGAAGAGACGGUGAUACAUCAAUAGUUGAAUCAUGGUCAGAUGAUGUUGAUGAUCCUUGCUCCCCUAUGAAACAGAAUAGUUCAGUGAUUCCACUACUUGCCUCUGUUCACGAAGAAGUGAGUCUGAUUACAUGAAACCAUAGUUAGUAUUUCUCAAAAAGACCUCCAACAUUUUUAUACCCGUGGAAUAAAGGGGUGUGCAUGCACCUCUCACGUGCUCUUGCAUGAAAAUUUCUUAGGACAAUGUUUCAUUGUUGUUCGUUUAUCAUGUGUCAAUUGAUGAAGUUAAAUUUUUCCAGGCCAGAAUAUCAGAUCCAUGCACCUAUUAUAGUUGUCGUGAAAAUUUUAGUUCAGACACGAAAGAUGGGGAUAGUGAGCAAGGAGAGGAAUAUGAGUCUUUACAUAUCUAUAAUGUAAGAAAUCGAAAAGUUGAUGCAAGACGAAGCCUGGAAGGUUCGUUUUUACAAUAUUAUGCUUCUCUUACUGUGCUAUUUAUGUCUAUGAUAAUAUUAGUAUGUUACACUUGAAAAAAAAAUACUAUGAAUAUUGUAUCACAUUUUCCUUUUCUUUCACUGAAUACCUUGGUCCGCUAUUUUUUAUCUUCUUACCAUUUGAUAGACAAAGAUAAAUUAAGUCUUGACGUUGUUGUUGCCAUGUUUAACAAAGAUAUUUCUGCAAUGUCAACAUUAAGUGCUAACAAAUUGUGGUAAAAAGUGCUUCCACCGAGUAUAAUUGUGUCUUUCAAAUUAUGUGAGACCUAAAAGUUGACUUUUUUUUUUCUCCUACGAGGCCUAAUUUUUGGCUUAACAAUAUAUCUGCAAUUUUAUCAGGUGCUUUUGUUAUGUGCUGGUUGGAUGCAAUCAAAGAUAAAGUUGUUAAAAGAAGUUUCCGAUAUAUGUCAAGAACAUUAAUAUCUAUUACAAUUAAGCUUAUUGAUUUCAUACGGAACAUACCUGUCGAAUAUUUUUUGAGGAGACAGUCCAAUUUGGAAAACGGCCCUGCACCAAACACCUAUCUAAAUGGUUCCGAAAAUGACCCUGAAUUAGACACCCUUUCAUAUGUUCGCGAAAAAGCUGUUGCUGUAGAAGACACGGUUCGUCCAUGUGUACAGCGCCUGCAGAGGCUAGAAAGUUUGUUGGAAGAGCUCAACAAAAAACCGGCCGAAAUUCCAGUAGAAAAGGAUCAAGUUCUUCAGCAAUCUCUGGACAGGAUCAAGUGUGUUGAGUAUGACCUUGAGAAAACAAAGAGGGUAAAUAUAUUAUCCACCGUAAUUGCACACAUCUUUAAUUUUAGCUAUAUGAUCAAUUUAGCAAUCUCUUUUUUUUUUUUUUCCAGGUAUUACAGGCUACAGUACUGAAACAAAUUCAGAUUGCCGAGUUACUGGAAAAUAUGCGCGAGUCCAAAUUUCAGGCAAGUCAAUUUCCCCAAUUGUUUCUAGAGAAUAUUUGCUGUCAAGAACUUACCUAUAUUUCUGUUUAGUUGGCACAACAAUUGUUGAUGUAGUUUUGAACUCUCUUUGCAGCGGCGAAGGUUUUUCUGCUAAGUAUUGGCUGGUCAAUGGUCAAUGUGUGAUUAAGGAAUGGUUUUUGGAGGUACACAACAAUGUCGAGAAGUGCACAAAGCCUUACUUAGGCGGCCCCUUUUUUCUAAUUUCAUCUCACGGUAGACAAAUCGUUCGACAAACCAGCAACUGCAAACUCUAUGAUACGACAAUUCCUCUGCAGCUAAUUAAAUCUCAGUUCAGCCUCAAAGGUACGGUGAAGAAGACCAACUUACUCCGGGUGAUUUUGUGGGGAGAUUUCCAUUAAUUUGAUAUAGCUGUAAAUAAGUAGUUUCAUUUGUAGUAUUUAAUAUUGGAUGACAAGUUCGAACGAACCGGUAGAGAUCAAACCAUGCAGGGGCGAUUGUGGUUUAUACGCUAUAAUAAUGUGGUAGCCGCAAAGUGAAAAUGUACACGAUAUCGAAAGUCAACUAACAUGUAACAACUACGGUUAAUUCGGCUCGUCUGAUCUGCUUAAUGACAUUUCAUACUAGCCAUUUUUUAGUAUUUAAAAACAUAAAUGUUAUGUGGAGAAUGAUUUACACUUGGCAUAACAUGUAGCGGAAUAAUUGUAAAAACACAGAAUUUGGUAUCUACAAGUAAAUACUUGUGGACAGAUUUUAGAGACGACAUAUACUUAUUAUAUAAACAGAACUACAAGAAUAUAAAAGAACACUGAAAUGCUAAUUGUAGCAGGACUUUUACUGAAAUUGACUUAUUUGCAGUGGUAGUCUCAUUUGUCAAUUUUCUAACUUUCUAAAAAAGUCGAAACUCUCUCAACUAAAAAAAGUCGAAAACUUAGAAUUUGAAACUCGUUCGACAAAUUCAAAAACGAACAACGACUUAUUCGAUGGCUGAUCAGAACAACUUUUAUAUAGUAAAAAGAAAGAAAAAAAAAAUUAUAAGAUGGUGUAAUCGUGCUAUACAGCACGGAAGUAUCAAAAAAGUCAAAAAAAUUGGAGUUACCUGUGCUGUACAGCACGGGAACUUGGGUCUGAAUUUUCAAUUUUUUUUUUUUUUAUUCCUUUGUAUUAUUAAAUUUUAUAAUUUGGUAGGGUGAUGAUGGUAAUUUUGACGAAAAAAUUGACGAUGAAUGUACAAACGAGUACAAUAAUCCGAAUAUGUGUUAUCAUGCUUCUCAAAUAAUUAUAAAAUUCGAUAUUUAGAAAAAAAGAUUAAAAAAAUAAAAAAAUAUUAAAACUUUAAGUUCCCGUUCUGCAGAACACGGGAACUUGAAUAAUCUUCAAGUUCCCGUGUUCGGCAGAACGGGAACUUCAUGUUUUUGGAGUCCUCCGUUCUGCAGAGCACGGGAACAUGAAGAUUAUUCAAGUUCUCGUGUUCUACAGCACGGGUGAUUCAUAUUUUUUUUUUUUUUCCGAAAAAUAAAAAUUCAAAAAAGAGUUCAAAGGUCCCGUCUUCUGGAACACGAAAUUUUGAAUCUCCCGUUUUCUGGCACGGAAACUCGAAGAAAAUUCAAGUUCCCGUGCUCUGCAGAACGGGGGAUUCAAGCUGUUUGAAUCUCCCGUUCUGCAGAGCACGGAAACUCGAAUGUUCUUCGAGUUUCCGUGCUCCAUAACACGUGAGCUUUAAAUUUUUUUUUUUUUUUUUUCGAAAUUUUGCUAGAUCUAAUCCUAAACAUGUGUUUUUACCUAAAUUGGAAAUAAAACUAAUUAAAAGUAGUAGGAUAUUGAAAAUUUACCGGAAUCGAGCCUCGUUUGCUACAGUUUGAAUAUCGAAAAAUUUACGAAAUUCAAAUUUCUAGAGAGAGUUUGGGAAUAGGAGAGAGAAAUUAAAAAAAAUAAAAAAUUAAAUGAAAAAGGUACCGCUGCAAAUAAGCCAAUUUCAGUAAAAAUCCUGCAGCAAAUAGUAACACCCAAAAGAAAAUGAAUUAAUGACCUUCCCUAUUAUGAAUGUAUUUGAAGUCUAACCUCUUCAACACAAACUAUCAGAUCGAUCUUUAGACGUACAAACUAUGUACUCGCUUACAACAAACGUGAAUUUAACUCAAAUCAAAUUUUCUUUUUCUCUCCAAAAUUGUGGUAAAAACUUGGAAUAAAGACUACGAUUUAUAGACUUCAGCACGCGUCCACUACCUGCACAUGUUAAGCGAGCAACCAAGCACUAAGAUAACGAGUUAAUCAUUUUCUUCCGAUGCAAUGAACAUAGUAUAGCAUUUGGAACACGUUAAGUGUACCACCAACUUUGAAUUAAUCAAAUAUGGCAUGAAAUUUAAGUUUCCUAACGAAAUUAACCCUAGAUCAACGAAGGAAAAACUUUUCAUUCUCACCACUCUUUCCAUUUUAUUGCAUAAUCCCAAAAUAGAAACCACUAAUUAAAUACUUAAGCCUGCAUAUUUAAUGAUUUUCUUAUUUGGGGGUUAAUCCAGCGGGUGGCAUAGAAUUAUCAACACUUUUAACUUCAUUAACCAAAAUUAAUAUCCUUAUUAAUUUUAAUUGAAUAGACACGUGGACUUUUAUUAAUUUAGUCCAUUAGCGUAAUCACGUAACUGUAGAAAUAUUUAUUAUUUACCACUCUUAAAUUAUGUAAAACCAGUUUGAAUUUAAUAUGCAGCCGUUGCAAAAAGAGUUUCACAUUUAUAAUUCUUCAUAAAAAAUAAAAUAAAAAAAAUAAAUAAAAAAAAUAGACGCGGUCGAAAGUUAUCGCGUGAAGAACUGGCAGUGGGGGCUUUCUGGCCUCCAUGUUCUACUACCUGUCUCUCUCUCUCCUCUUCCAUUUUUUUAUUACUUUUUUAAUAUUUAUAUUAUGCAGACAUUAUUCUUAAUUUCCACAAAUAACUCCUCCAUUUAUUUUAUUUUUAAUCAAAAUUAGCGCGAUAUUAUUAUACAUACAUACUAGUCCAAUUACAGCAGGUAGAUGCUUUAGCUACUUUACUGCGAUAACUGGUAUCUAGAGAGAGAGAGAGAGAAAUCGAAGGAGAGAGAGAGAGAGAGAGAGAGAGAGAGAGAGAGAGAUCUGCCCAGGAAUACCGCUUCCCAGCGUUUAUUGGGGCUUUUUGUGUGCCAAUUUUAUGGUUUGUGCUUAUAGAUUAUUUGUUAAUAAUUUGAAUCAGCGAAAAAAAACUUUGCUCUGAAGAAGAAGAAGAAGAAGGAUGGGAUUAAGUGAGAUAAAGUGUUGUUUGAUUCUGAUUGUCUGUCUCUCACUUUUCACCUCUCUCUCGGCUUCCACUUUCAUUUCAGGUUAUUGGAUUGGAUGUCAAUUUUUUCUUUUUUUUUUGAAGAAUAUGACUUCCAACAGUUUCAAUUCAUCAAUUUGCUGGUCCUUGAUUUGCUAUUUAUUUAUUUAAUUUUUAUUUAUUUUGUUGAAUUUGUGCAGAUGGUGUAUUUGGAUCUUCAGUUUUGAGUGAGAGGAGGCUCCUUCAGGCUAAGAAACGUAUGCUUCUCUUCUCCUCUUUCCCGUUUUAUUAAUUAAUUCUUCCUUUUUGUUACCCAAUUAAUUGUGUUAUUCUCUUUGAUGGCAAUUGUGGUAAUUUCGAAGUGUUUCUGAUUUGGGGAUGAUAGUUUAACUAUUGCUAGUGAUAAUUUGAAGCUUGUAGAUGCUAUGCUACACUACAAUCUGUGAAAUACACCGGUAGUUUCUCCCCUUUCGAUCACACACAAUCACAUGCAUAUAUAUGUGUUGGUCUGUGUAAAAUAUGUAUAGAUGCAUACACGCUUAUGGUAAAUAUAUAACCCGUAUGAAGUUCAUAGGUUGGGUGCAGCAUACAACCAAUCAAUUUCGAGAGCGCGUCUCUUGAAUUUACCAAGCUUCACAAGUCAUGGAUUUCCCAUUUCCAUAGCCACAUUUAUUUUUAAGGUUUGAUAAAUCAUUAAAAUACGGUCUCGGAUCUCUCAGCUAAAUGAUCUUGAGUUUCCGAAUCGUUUCUAGUCCGAGCAGUAAUAGAAACCAAUCAUGCAUAAGUCGUUGUAGAUCAUAGAUUGUCUUUACAUCAUUAGCCAAAUCCUAAUUUUGUUAUAAUAUUUCAAGAAAGCUGCAAUGGUGAAUUAUACCAAUUUGCAUAUUUUUUUUCCACACAGCAUGUCCUGUAAACUUCGAGUUCCAAAACUACACAAUCAUCACCAGCAAAUGCAAGGGGCCACAGUACCCACCGAACCUGUGUUGUUCGGCUUUUAAAGACUUCUCAUGCCCAUUUGCCGACGAGUUGAACGACUUGACAAACGACUGUGCUUCAACAAUGUUCAGCUAUAUCAACCUUUACGGCAAGUACCCGCCUGGUCUAUUUGCUAGUAUGUGCCGUGAAGGUAAAGACGGGCUCGAAUGCCCUGCACCAGCUCCCGGAACUUCACAGUCGAAGGUAGCUAACAGUAACAGUGGUAAUCAGAUAGCGUGCGGUGUCUUGCCCGUGAUGAUGAUGGUUCUAGUUGCUUCACUUACGCUGUUUGUGCAAUUUAUGUGAGAGGUUCCCGCUUUUUGUGUUGAUAUUUUCGAUUAUUUUGUUAAGUUGGCUUAUACAUAUAUAUGUGUUUAAGAGUCGGAGGAUUUUCUUGGCUUCCACGUCGUCGUCUGGUUACACUUGUAUACUUUUGUUGUAUUAUUAAUGUUUCUGAUUGUGGCUGAUCGGAUGAGUUGUAAUAUUAUUGAUGAAGAAAUCUUUUAUUAGGCUACACAGACUAAACCAAUUUUUUGAUUAGUUUUGUUGGAAGUAAGAUUUGACUUAUUUUGUGAGAAAUUGUAGGUAAAGAAACGUGUUUUUCAAACACAUUAUUUGGAUCAAAUAUGUGGAAAAAAUUAAUAGUUGUUGCAGACCAAUUCUCCUUGUCCAGGUUAGUGGUUGAGCAUUACCAAAAGUCAGCGGCGCCACCUAAAGAGACUGGUGUUUGCCGUUUGAAGGAAAAUAAGUAAAAUUAAUAAACAAUAAAUAUCUCUUCGAUGAGUUCUCUACUUAUGAUUUGCAAACAACCACACAAAUCUGAGUAAAAUCGUGUAUGAAUUUAUGCACGUAUAUGGUAGGAGAUAACUCGGUGAAAUUCAUGGGAUGUAGAAUAGAACAAGCUGUCAAUAAAUUAAGUGCAAAUUACGGCCGCCCCUGAGGUAAACUUAAAUUACGGGAACAUACCUCUUGUUUGAAUAAUUACAUCCACCCUCUUAACUAUGUAUUGUCUUACGAAACUCCUAUUUUUAGUAAGUAAAUUUGACUGUAAGGGUGUACGUGUAAGACAAUACAUAGUUCAUGGGUUGUCGUAAUUUGCCCAUAAAUUAAACAAUAAACAAAAGCCACCAUAAUUCAAAAUAACUGGGAGCAUUAAGAUAAUAUGGUCAGUAGCCAAUAAAUACAAAGGUAAGUUACAUCAUCAUGGGAACUAUAGCAGCAGACAGGCUGGCUGAUAUUGUACAGUGAUAUUGAGUUGGCUUUUGAAAAUGAUCUCCACAGCUGACAAAUGGAGGACUGAGUCUAGAGGCUAAUUGAUUUAUUUUCUAUAUAUUACUUACAUUUUAUUUGCAGGGUUUUACAUAAAUUAUUCCAUACACAGACAGGGCUUCUUAUAUAUAUGCACAACAGACAUCAUGUUUAUUGUUUAACCUUAGAAGAACUGAGAUUGAAGUUUGGAAUCCUUCAGAGGGAAAGAAUCUGCUUACUACUUGCAUGUGUAUCUAUCUAUAUCCAUUUUCACCCACUUUACGCAGCUCGUUUCACUAUCUCCAAGUGAAUAGGUUCACCACGUCAGCUUGCGUUUGGACAGACCCCGAUAUUGCUUUUUAGUGAUGCACCAAGAUGUAGGAAAGGUGCUCAACUGUGUCCAAGAAAAAAAAAGACAUUUAUAGACCAUACGUAAAACGGACAAGCAACUAACAAAUUCUUUUGAUUUUAUUUAUUAGCGAUAAACUUUAGAAUCAAUAAUUGGAGUAUUGCAACAAUCUAACAACUCUAGUUUCAUUGGUCCUGAAAUUAGGCCUAUAACCGAGUUAAUAUAUAUCAACGAAGAAUCAGAAAACAAUAGAGGAAACUUUGAGAUGUGAAGAUAGGAAGCACUUACGCUGCUAACAAGCUUUGCUCCAAACCAUGCAGAAUCUGUGCCGUUAGGUGGAGGAAUAACUCUAAUUCCACUGCACAUGGGUUUUGGUAGAAGCCCAUAAAGUUCUUUCUCUAGCCUUGCUGAAAAAACAACAAUGUCGUCAACUUCCAAACAUGCAUCACGUCAACAGUUCUCUCUUUUUUCUCAAUCAAGGCCGAAGAAUUUGGUUUUCAUUUAAAAAAAAAUAAUAAAUAAAAAAGAAAGAAAGAAAGAAGUUGAGGUACGAGGCUCUAGACCUGCUAAUCCUGGCAAACAAGCACUGCCCCCAGCCAACACGACAGUUCUAUACCAAUUAUCAUCACCAGUUAAUUCAGCAUCAUGACAGUGAUCCAUACAAAGUGCCACUGCCUGAUGCAGACCCAUCGCCUGCCUGUAAAAAAAUAUCGCUUAUUACAAAUGAGCCACUGUGAACAACAAAUCUAUGUUUCAUCUUUAUGAACUCCAUUGUGGAUGCGAACUCAUCCAGAAUUAUCGUUGAAGUGCGUUCACAUGAAAACUGCUUAUAAAAUCUCUAGAAAACAGCAAUAUUCAUUCCACAGAUGCCAAAAAAUAAGAUUUUCCGGAGAUGAUUUGCCCUAGACCCUAUACUACAACUCUACAAGUACCCACUAUAAAGGUAAAAGUGUACAUACACUCCUGCCAUGCGAGGCUGAAAUAAUAUCUCUCCCGUUUGAAAACGUUCCUUUGAAAGUGUAAACCAACUGUUUGAUGAAACUGCAAAAGAUGCUUGUGUAUUUUUGGCUAAUUCAGCUUCAUAGUCAAGUGCAACAUAACAUAGGUUCUGCAAGUCCAAACACCCAGAGAAAUGGCAGUUAACAUGCAAGUUACAUGGGAUCUCAAAUAUCAUAGAGAAAGUGAUUAUCAAGGGAAAAGUAUCCGUUAGGUCUAGCAGUUCAUCAGACUUAUGGGACCACCAAGUGUCAGAAAACAACAAGAUUGCCCAUACAAUAGGGUAACAAAUACUAUUAAGGAUGUUACAAAAACGGAAACUUGAUUACAUACCUCUUUCAAUGUGCGGACAGUGUAGAGUGAAUCGAAAGCUAUAUUAUUCUGUUGCAUCCGAUCUUUAAGGAAUCCUGUCAGUUUCAAAGCUCCCAUUCCUACAACUUCCACGCCCACCUUAUGCAUCACUUUGCCAUGUAAAACUGAGUAAACAAACAUAUAGUCAUGUAUACAGUAAAUGCUCAUAAAAAAUCAACAUCUCCAUUUUCCAUGAGAAGAUUGAAGUAUCUCAUCAAAUAACACAUAAACGUCAAAAAAUUUGAUACACUAAUAUUAAGUCAAUAGACCUUACUUGGAACAACUGAGGUUUGGUGAAAACCAACAUUCACAACAAUUCCUGAGAUUCUUCUUGCCGCAAAUAAAGCCAAAGUUGCCUAUAUUUGAUAGAACAAGACAAAAGUUAUACAUUGUUUAUGUACAUCGAAUAUAACACCCUCUAGUGUAAUACAAGUAAAGAUACACGGUCCCCAGCUCCCACUAUCAAAUGACGUGAAAAUGUUUAUCAACUUGUUUAGAAGUAUUAUCAUAAAGAUAUGUUUCUGAACAUAACGAUGUGCAAUUGUUGCUUGUGAGAUGGCCUAAGCAAAGAUGAUAUAUUCUUGUGUUCAAAUUUGGAACUGAAAAGAUGUCCCACAUGGGUAAUUGAGUAAAUACCUGGUUUAUGGCACAUACAGCAGGAACAUUCAUAUCAAAUAAUGUUGAGUAGAUUGCAUCCUUUAGUUGUUUCCGAGAACCUCUUGCAGACUCGGUAUCUGAUUUUUUAUGGUAACAUCGACCAGGUAAAAUAUUAUUAUGCCAUAAAAGUAUCAUCCUUGACCAACCAAAUUAACAACUGACAUUUCAGAUGCAAAUGGUAAAAGGGUUACAGUGAAUUUUCAAAAACAUUUCCUCUGCGAUUUCAAUUCCAUAUCCUUCUUCCAGGUGUAAAAUCUCUGAUAUUGUGCAUGAUUUUAACCGUAUAAUCAAUAUGACAAAUAUGUCAAGAUUUUAGGCAGAACCACAAAAUAUUUUUUGUACAGAAGUUUUGCGGAAAAAAGGCAAAUAAAUAAGCAGUAAAUUCUGAUCAAAGAAAUCACAGUUGAUUUUAACAAAUUCUGAAGCUAACCAUCAUAAUGACAGAGUGGUAUUGAUACAACAAUUGGUUGUGUUGAUGUUCUGACCUGCAUCCUGCAUGCCAGCAAGGUCACCUAAUCAGAUAUAGUUUGCAAAUAAACAACGAAAAGGCGGUCAUAGCAUGAAACCCGCAUCAGGAGUGAUUGCAGUCAGAUAAAUGUAUGCACAAUCGAUGCUAAGUUAUACAGAUUUCUUGAGAAGGCAGUUAAUCUUAUAAACACUCAAGCAAUAGCAGAAGACUCUUGACCACACACUGCAUAUAAGGACCCUAUGCAGCAAAUAAAAAAAAUGAAAAAAAAAAUUGAUAGAAAAACCUGUUGCAAAUUGUUGAAAAGAAAUGUCUAAGUCUAGAAGGCAUAGGAGACUCAAUAUUUCCAAAUUCCUGCAAAUUAAACAUUUGAGGAUUAGUUGAGAUAGAAAAAUGUCCUCUGAAAGGAUAUGAAUUUACAAAUAACAUGUUAAUGAGAAUAAUAUUACAGAUACACUUACCAAAAAUGUUGCUGACCGCCCAGAUGGAGAGUUGUACUUGCUCCAUCCAUAUUUACAAUAACCCGAGCCCCCUACAAUGAAAAUAUAUGGAAAGAAAAUCAAUUGGUAUAUGCAGAAUUAAACCAGAAAUCCACUGAAACGCAAAAGCUUUCAAAACUUCGAAAAUUUGUAUUAUUAUCAUUUAGUAACCACCAAUUUUCCACAUAUUAGUUGCCUUCACAUUCCUAUUUUUAGUGGUCAAUAAGUAGAGAAGGUGAACUACAGAUAAGAACAAAAGCCAAAAACCAAUCGGACACACAUGCAAACACCAAAUACUCAACGUCUCUCUAGUUUGGGUAGUGACUAGUGAGUAUUUUGCGGAACAAAUUCAUGAAAUACUUACCAUCAAUUAUAAGAGCUCCAGGGACUUCGACGCGCUGACCAUAAAUAUGCAUAUAUGACAGGUCGUGCAUCUGAGUAGGAAACGCUCUGCAAAUAAAUUAAAACUCCGCAAGUAUAAAUAAUUCAAAAUAGCUGAGUCAGCAUUAAUUCUUCAGUCAAAAAUAUUUAGGAUAUUAGAGAAAUGGUAUGGUCGCAUGCACUGACGAUCAACUUAUUUGAUGCAUCUUUCACGACUAUAUAUUUUCCAAAGUUGAAUACAAAGAUGAAUUUCACUUGGUGAAGAUUGACUGACCAAUCACAAAUUUUAAAUUAAAAUUUUAAAUCCUCAAAACUACAAGAAAAUCACAUCUUACAGUAACAUUUUGGUAAAGUGCUAAAGGAACAUUUUCUGUUUUCUUUUUGCAUUUUGUUAAAUUUCGGAUGAGCAUGAAUGUGAAGCACAUAUUCUUAAUAAGGUAUAUGAAAUGUAUGUGAAACACAUCUUCUUAAGAAACUUCGGAUGAGCAGAGAUUAAUAUCACAAUUUUGGUUAGCAAAACAGCAUAUUCUUGGUAGUGGCACAAGUGUACAAAAGAGACAUCGUCAAGGUUCACUUAUGCAGAAAUAAAUACAGAUAACCUGGUCUACGACAAACGCAAUCAAUGCCUAAAUUCGAUGCGUAGUCCUAAAUCGCUACGUAUCCAAGUAUACACAGCUGUUACGUAUCCAAGUAUACACAGCUCUAAAUCAUCACAGACGCAAAUAUCAACCAAAAGAACUAGUUCGAUUCGUAGUCUCGAAAAUAGUAAAACACUAAAACGAACUGCAGUAGCAGUUGAGUAAUAUAGUUCUAAGUCAGAUGUAAAGCUUGCGUCCCCACUGUACAAUUAUUAAACUAUACCAACAGCUCUAAAUCAUAAGCGAUCAAAUUUAAAUACAGUGAAUUGGGUAAAAAUAUGAAUUAAAACUCUCAACAACCAAAUAUUUCUUCAAUUAUUAAAUUCGUUGAAAAAAGUAGGGAGUAAGCGUACUGAAGAGGAAAACCGGAUCGCAAGUGAGUUUCGGAGAAGAAAAUGGAGUCCCACUGCUCCGGCUGAUUCUGCAGAAAAUAAAUCCAGAGGCGAUUAUCCGACACCAGAAAUUUCCAGGAUUUGCAGACGGCUCUCAGUCUCGCCGACUCCCUAGGGCCGAGGAUUCUGAAAAUCUGCAUAAGGAUGUCGAUGGGAAUCCGGUCGAAUUCGCCGGUCGACGAGGUCUGGAUGUACAUCAUCUGGAGGAACCGGUCGUACUCCGACGUCGGGUUCGGGUUGGAGAUUCGAUCCGAACCGGACGAGGAACCCGACCGGUUGGUGACGGAUCCCCAUACUUUACGAAUCAGGGAAUUCAUUGCUGGUGUGGUGCAUCAGAAGUUCAUAGCUGGAAUUAAGCAACAGGAUAAACACGUUUUUUUUUCUUUAUAUUGAUGAAGAAUUGUCGUUUGGUUCUGGUAGGCGGAUUUUUGACGGAUGCAAGUGGGCGAGUGAAGAACGAGGAGGGAGGGGAGAGCGUGCAGUUGUGACACGUGUCCGCAUUAUAGCCCGGGAAACUGUGGCGACGAUUGGUAAGUCAGCGCGUGCUGUUACGUGCGUGGUUAAAUAUCCGCGGCACAAUGUUGGGCUGGCCCAAGCCCAAUCUCACAAUAGAUUGGAAAUAACCUUAUCUUUGACAUAAUUCAUAUUUAAUUGUAUAUAUAUAUAUAUAUAUAUAUAUAUAUAUAUAUAUAUAUUUCGUUUCAUUAAAUUAAUAGAACUCAUCUAUAUGAUUAAUUUAAUAAGAUUGACUAAACACGAAAAAUAUCUUAAUUUCGUAAACUAAAUUUUCUAUGGGCAAAGUACAUGUAAUAUUAUAUUUUAAUAAUUUAAAUACAAGAAUUAAUUUAAGUAAUUGGGCGUCCUACUAACUAAUUAAUAUUGAUUGUGUAAAAUCUACAUAUUCAUGGCCUCCUUCCAAAUCCUACUUUCCUAGUUGCGGGAAAGCUCACAGCCUCACCUAAUCCUAGUGAUACUACGAUGAAAAUAAACAAGACGCAUGGUAAAUGUAAAAUUAAAGAGAUAACUCACAAAAGAGUGUAUAUUGAUUAGUGAUCGUUGUGAUCCCUUAGCCCUAAUCAGGUUCGAUACACUUAUUUAUAUAGAAAACUACCCAUGGUUUUUUUUUUUUCUAAUUUAAAAUCCCUUUAUUCAUUCGAGAUCCAGACUGAUUGUUCAAUCAAUAAUCCUAAUUUAACAUUUUCUUUAUUUAUUUAUGGAAGUUAUUUCCCAAUCGCCUCCUCUAACGAUUGCAGGGCUAGCUCGCGCCACCUACCGCGUCUUCACUUAACAUAUUCAGAUGUAUUGGGAGCACACAAGGUAAGCUAUCAGCACAUCCAAUUUACCACGGACUAUAUGACAAAUGUCUUGACCCAUUUCGACUCUCGUAGCAUACUGUGCGAGCUUUCAACCUGUUUUUGACUCUUGCGGUCCAUUGGGCCCUCGGUCCGAUAGACUAAAAAUAUGUGGUGAGGCUCGGUACCAAACUGACCCCAUCAAAUACAAUCUUAUUUAAUCCAUUCCAAAUCAAUAUAGAUAACCAAAAUAGGCCUUGCAUAUAUUUAUUUGACUCAAAAUGAAUCUACUUUUAAUUUAAUAAAAAAAUGAAACACGUACAAGAAUCUAAAACUAGCAAAUUCAAUUUACAUUCUUCUUGAUUAAAAAUUGCUCAUCCCAAUCUACUUAAUCCAGCAGUUGCACCGAAUUUAGAAAUAAUUCCUAUCUUUCAUAAGAAAAAUAAAGUCAAAGUUAAACAUAACCACAUAUUUAGAACGUAAAUAACAUAACACAUGGGCAUGUAUGGUAAGCAUUGUGGGCCACGGUAAAUGAACGGCUGAGUUUGUGAGAUGCCAAUUCAAAUGGCCCACUUUUUGGCCCAAUUAUUUAAAUCCUAUCGAUAAGCUUAGCUACUUCCCAUCCAUAUCACUAAUUGUAAAUUGAUACACCUAAUUAUUAAGCUAUUUUUUUUUUCUUUUUUCUUUCUUUAAUAUAAACUUAUUGAUUUUCUUAAUACGCACGCAACAUGACAAGACAUAUAUAUAUAUAUAUAUAUAUAUAUUUUUUUUUUAUUGUCAAACUAUUUAGUGUUUUUUUUUUUUUUUUUUUUUUCUGAGUAAAUUCAAGUCCAUUACAAGGGAAAGUAGGGGAGGGGAGACUCGAACCCUAGACCUUUACUCUAUUGGUAAAGGUUAAGUACCAACCCUUUUCUAACGAGGGUUGGUAAAAUUACUAUUUAGUUUUGAUCAGUUUAAAAUGCUAAUCGUAUAAACUAGUUACUAUUUGGGGACUUGUAGCCAAUUUUAUUUUGUUUAAUUAUGAAAAAUCAUAAAAUAGUACUAUAAUAUAUUAUCUUUGUCCCACAUUCUUUGUCUUUUUAGAGAGUUUUUCAUGAAUUAUUUGUUAAUUUAAAUUUUCAAUAAAACAUCAAUUGCAUUAUUUCUAUUUUUAUUCUUUAUCACUCCUAAUUAAUUAAUUAUAACAAUUAAUAUCAAGGAUAUUUUAGUAAUUAUCUCUGUUUUACUUAAUAUAAUACAUACAUAUUUAUUAACUUUCUUAAUAUGUGUGCAACAACCUAAAAUGUCAUUUAAAUUGGGACGGAGAGAGUAAUUUUUUUUUAUUAAUAAAACGAGAGAUGUAAACUGACAUGCUCGACUUGACAAAAUUUCGAAUCUAAAUCAAUUAACUCAUGCUCAUUUGCUCAAACCAUUAAAGAUUCCUUAACAAUUACAAUAUUCCGAUAUAAAUUAAUCCAAACAAGAAAAUCUACCGGCAUUAACAAGACCGACCUAUAUAUAUCAACGCAAAAAGUAAAAAAUUCCCUUUAAUUCACUUUGCAUUAUCUGUCUCAAAACCACUGGAUAUACGUUCGCAGAUAGAUACACACGCAUAUAUAUACCCUCCUCUCUCUCUCUCUCUCUCUCUCUCUCUCCUCUUCGAGACCUAUCGUUGAAAUUCGGUUUAAUUGCUAAUUAAUCAAUCAAAUUUUAUGUGAAAUUAAUCCCCUCAACCAGAAGCUCAGAGGAUUUUGUUAUUAUCCUCAUCAAUAGGAAGGUGAGAAUAUAUAAAUAUAUAAAAUGUUGUGGUUCCAGAAUUUGGUUUUACGCAUUUUUCACGUUCUUCUAUCACGCUGUUCAUUUUUGUUUUCAUCUCCGAGGAGUUCUAGGGUUUAUGCGUUUGCAGGUUAUUUUGUUUUCAAUAUCUGACUGUUUAGUUAGGGAAGGAACUUGGUGAAUUGCGGUAGUGUAUACUGCAAGAAAUUAUUAGCCUUUUUGCUUUUUGUUGAUUUUUUGAAUUAUUUGCCGACUGCUAUUGUUUGUUCUGUUUUAAUUGAUUGUCGUUAAUCCAGCAUCAUUUCUCCCCAUGAACUUUAUAUUUGAUGAUUUUGGCUUCUCUAAAUUAAUAAUCCAUUCCUCCAUGUAUAUAUACUUGCAUGUAUAUUUAUGUAUCUUAUCCUCAUGUUGUUUAAAUAUAUUUUUGGUUGAUUUUGUUGCUUUUUUUGCUUCAAUUAUUGUACAUUACCGUAAUAAGACUGCGCCCAAUACCGCGUCUAUAAAUCAAUAAUCCAACCUGCAUUGUAACGCCUCUUUCUCCGACCUCUGUAGAUCAUGUCCCAUCAACAAGAAAACGAUGCUAAUGAAAUGGAGGAGGAAUAUGAAAUGGAGGAUGCAGAAGUCGACAUGGACGAUGAUGGGUUUCACGACAGAGAUGCUAGUGACUCAGAUUCCGAUGUGGAUACAUAUGACUACAUGGUUUGUUCGUAGUCAUCCCCUGCUAACUUAUACCUUUCGUGGCUAUUUUCGUUUUUGAGUUAUCUAAUUGAAAUGCUUCUUCUGACUGGAUUUUUAACUUUGUUCCUUUAUAGAGUAAUAGGAUACACGAUACUACAGCAUCUCAGGCAAGGAAGGGCAAAGAUAUCCAAGGGAUUCCCUGGGAGAGGCUCAGCAUAACAAGAGAGAAAUAUAGGCAGACUAGAUUAGAACAAUAUAAGAAUUACGAAAACAUUCCUCAAUCUGGAGAGGGAUCAGAAAAGGUAAUUUUAAUGUCGUCGAGUUGUUUCCCUAUCUGCAUUCUUCAUUGAUUUUGCUUCGUAGUUACUUUCUUUUAUUUAUUGACAUUUUGCCCCUUCCCUUUUUUGCGAUAGGAAUGCAAAACCACUGAGAAAGGAGGCGUGUACUACGUGUUCAGAAGAAAUUCAAGAUCUGUGAAAUCGACAAUUUUACAUUUUCAGGUAAUUGGAAUAUCUUGGAUCAGAAGAAUAGCUCUAUCAACUUGUAUUUCGGUUAAUUUGGAUGUCAUCGAGUUCAACAGCUAAACACAUACAUGCCCUUUCUUGCGCACUUGAAUCUGUAACAAUGGGUGCAUACUGCAUAGUGCAUACGACUUGUCUGUUAGAAUGGAUGGGUGUUCCGUAUUGGCUAUAGUGUGUCUCAUAAUUAAUUUUCUUGUUGAACCGCACCUGAGGUCUUUUAGAUGUGUUCCUAUUAAAUUUUAUUUUGUUUUAAUUCGUCUGGUUGGAGCUAAAGAUUUUGCCGUUCUGCUCUGAUAAAUUGGACAUAUAUGAGACAUUGAGGAUGUUGAUUUAGCAGGUUUGAAUGAGAUUAUUGAUGACUUACUUAUUGAGUUGCUCAGAUUUAAAAAAAUUUCAACUGGCUUGCAGAUCUGUUGUAGAGGAGAACUUCUUAAGGCAAUGUGAAAAACGUUACCAUUUUGUGGUUUUACGAAGCAUAAACAUUAUAUCAGAAUUAUAUGCAAACAAUCCUUUUAAUUUUCUAAAUUCUUGGCGUAUAUUUACUUGUGGAAUCAUCUCAUACCCUGUACCCUCGCAUUAAUCAACUAUUAGAAUUGUAUAACAGAGAAGUAAGUUUACCAUAACUUGGUGGGUAGGAGAUGUCCCACUCUGGCUUAGAGAAUGAUGUUAACGGUUAAUUUUCACGGAAGCUGAUAUUUGCUACUAGUUAAUUAUCCUUGGUUUGCAAAUAUUUUUUUUAAAAUUAUUAUUACAUCUUUUAGCCGGUGUUCAGUAUGAAGCGUGAUAGCUAAUAUACAUUUAACUGCUUUUGACACAGUUGAGAAAUUUGGUAUGGGCUACAUCAAAGCAUGAUGUUUACCUUAUGUCACAUUUCUCAGUUAUGCAUUGGUCAUCGUUAACACGCACCAAGUCAGAAGUUAUUAAUGUAUCGGGACGUGUAGCACCUUGUGAGGUAAGUGAUAUUACAAUACAAUAUUGUCUUAGUGCUGUACGCAAUUUGGUGAAUUAGUAUCUUCUCCUAUUUACUGAAUAUUGUUUACCUAGUGCAGAAACAUCCUGGAAGCCUGUUGGAAGGAUUCACACAGACCCAGGUCAGCACACUAGCAGUGAAAGAUAACUUGCUAGUCGCAGGAGGAUUUCAGGGCGAACUUAUAUGCAAGGUGCAUAUUCUUUAUUGUUUUCAGUAUGCUGUACAGAAAUGUGCAGUUUUCCUUUAUGCCUGUUUUAUCAAAUAUAUGUGGAGCUUCCUUGUGUUCUUGAAGGUCUUCAUUAUGCUUUUGCUUCCAUUAAGUUCAACAGAUUAGGACAUGUAAUUAUGUUGAUAUCUUUUAUCUUUCCCUGCUGAAUUACUUGACUGCGUAUUCAGUUGUUUCUGAUGCAAUCCAUAGGAAAUUAGGAAUCAGUAGAAAAGGCAAAUCCCAAUCACAUUCGAUACACGAUUUUGCCCGGUGUUUAGUUGGCUGCUCUUUGCUAAAUUUUUAUCUAUUUGGAUUUGGCUAAAUGUGCUUCUAUGAAGCCGAACAGAUAAAAUCUAUUAUUUUUGGCUUUAUUUCAGCACAAGCUAAUUCAUCCGUUUCUGUGUGUUUCAGUCCGUGACUUGUAGAAUAGUUUUAUGAUUUAUUCUUGGGCUUGUUAGUAGGCUGUUAUUAUUUCUUACUCUCUCUAUUAUCUGCUUUCCUACACAUGCUUUUGCUUUUAGUUAUUCAGUUAUCGAGCCAUUUAGUUCCCACCUAUUUGGUUGCAGUAUUUAGAUAGGCCUGGAGUUUCUUACUGCACUCGGACAACUUAUGACGAAAAUGCCAUUACUAAUGCAGUUGAGAUAUAUACGUCUGGCAGGUAUUUCUUCUUAUGUUUACGUCUGAUGGAUAUAAAUCUUUCUCUUUAUCUCUCAUUACACACACACGCACACACACACAUUCCUGACAGUGCCUUGUUUGUAUCCCAGUGGCGCAAUGCACUUUGUAGCUUCAAAUAAUGACGGUGGAGUGAGAACCUUCGAUAUGGAAAAAUUUCAGCAGUCUAACCAUUUUUGUUUUCCGUGGCCAGUUAAUGUAAGUCUCUACCCAUCUUCCCUGUGUAUGUUUGUAUGAACAUACAUACAUGUCAUAGUUAAUCCGAUUGCAUAGUGUUACAUGACUAUGGAUUUAGGGAGACAUACUUUUGUUCUUUAUCAUUAUGCAUGUAAGAAUGAGUCUGACUUUCAGAUUUGUGCCAAAUGCCAGUGUUGUAAAAGAAAUUCUUAGGGAUUUGGAUUGGUCAGUUAUCUCCGGAGUGUAUGGUCCAUGAUGUUUCGAAUAAGCAUGACUUAUUGUUGAGCUCAUGAAACGUACUUUUUGUAUCUGAAUUAGUUAGAAUUUCCCACAAUUUCUGCAUGCUGAGGAAGUCCGACAAAAAGAUAUUCUCAAAUGUUUUGUACUUUGAUGCAGCAUACUUCUCUAAGUCCUGACGGCAAGACACUCAUAAUUGUCGGGGACGAUCCUGAAGGUUUAUUGGUCGAUUCCAGGAGUGGAAAGGUAAAAAAAAUAUAUUUUUCUUUUCCUCCAUGCACCAUCAAUGGACAGGAGAAGCAUUGAACCACAACUAAUGAAUAUUCUACUCCUUGCAGACAAUCUCAUCUUUGCACGGUCAUUUUGACUACUCAUUUGCAUCUUCAUGGCACCCAAACGGCUUAACUUUCGCCACUGGAAACCAGGAUAAAACCUGCAGGAUUUGGGAUAUCCGAAAUCUCUCCAAAUCAGUCGCCGCUUUGAAGGGAAACAUCGGAGCAAUUCGUUCAAUCCGCUAUACAUCUGACGGCAAAUUCAUGGCCAUGGCAGAACCUGCAGAUUUUGUCCAUAUUUUCGAUGUGGGAAGCGGGUACCAGAAGGAGCAGGAAAUUGAUUUCUUCGGUGAGAUUUCAGGGAUGUCGUUCAGUCCCGACACACAGUCCCUUUUCGUUGGAGUGUGGGACCGUACUUACGGUAGCCUUCUUGAGUUCAGCAGAAGAAAUGAGUACUCGUAUCUUGAUGCUAUUUUCUGAGUUGGUCUUGUUAUUAAGAAAAAACAGUGCUCGUUUCGUGCUGACUUGUACAGUUGUAAUAUUGUGGGAGGAAAGUUUGAGUUUGGUCUGUUAGUUUAGUUGAGUGUGUGAGUGUUAAUAAGAUGUUAGAGGGAGGGGGAUGUACAGUAAAGGCUAGAUGAGUGUUGGUUCGGUUUGUGUUGGCACGUAGUAGAAGUUGGGCUAUGGGUUUUCUUACUGCCUUUUUUUUUAAUUUUGUCGAGGUUCUUGUUUGUGUCCGUCCGAUUGAAAAGUGAAUGUUUCAUGACUAACUUGCGCAAUCUAACGGAGGAGUUUCCGUGCUGGAGGCAAUUUAGAUGUGCAUGGGGUGUUUCUUUAGUCAAGUCUUUAGUUAGGCUGUGUAUAAGACAGUCAGCUUUUAACAUUUUUUUUUUCGGUUUUCGCUUUUAUAGUGGACAUCGAUUGACUUUAAUGGAACUUAGAAACUCAGCUAACGAGGGUUGGUUUAUCGUAUACUACCGAGUUAUUUUGAGUUGUGUUCGGAAAUAAUUCAUCUGUUUUAAAUUAAACUGGCGUCUUAGUGUCGUAUAGGAUAAUUCAGAGGCAUAACUUUCAUUGAUAAGACUCCCAAUCAUAAUGGGCCAAAAAAAGACCGACUCGAUCCACUUUGGUAUUUGAAGGGAAUGCAAAAAGGUAAUGGAUCUGAUAGUUCGGGAUAUUUGAACCCGACGUGAAUCGAACACGCAACCUUCUGAUCUGGAGUCAGACGCGCUACCAUUGCGCCACGGAUCCUAGGUGAAUAUUAAGCUCAAAAUAAACAAUAUGACCUCCUAUAAAAGGAAAAAGGGUCAUGAUCUCUGAUCCAGAAAGAACCAAUGAAAAAUAGCCAGGUCAGCAUACAAAAUCUUUCUCCCCUCACUCUCCUCCUCACAAAGUCAAUAUCUCUGCUCUACCACCCACCACCUCCUAAAUUAUAAACAUCAUCACCUCCUCCAAUAAUUAAUAAUCCCACCACCAUAUCCAAAUUCUUCAGCAAAAAAGGAAUAUUCCCGUUCAACAAAUGGCGUCCACUCUGUUCUCCGCUCCAUCUUUCCAAGGUCUGAGACCCCUCAACAAGCCCACAGACGCCGCCCUCUUCCUCUCCAAACCCACCUCCGCCACCUUCCGCCGCCCCAUCACCGCCACGAACCGCCUCACCAUCAAGUCGGAGCUGAACCCAUCUCUGGUAAUCAGCCUCAGCACCGGGCUCUCACUCUUCCUGGGGAGAUUCGUGUUCUUCAAGUUCCAGAGAGAGAACGUGGCCAAACAGGGUCUGCCGGAGCAGAACGGAAUCUCCCACUUCGAAGCCGGCGAUGUGAGGGCGAAGGAGUACGUCAGCCUCCUGAAAUCGAACGACCCGAUUGGGUUCAACAUCGUCGAUGUUCUCGGGUGGGGAUCGAUUGGUCACAUCGUGGCUUACUACAUUCUUGCCACCUCAAGCAACGGCUACGAUCCUUCCUUCUUUGGUUGAUUGAUACGUUUUGAAACGUCGUCGUUUAGCCCUUGUUGUGUAUGUAUAUCUCUGGCAAAAUUAAAUUUCUACUACAAUUUUUUACUUAUUAUAAUUUUCGGAAUCUUUUAGUUGCCAAGCUGUGGUGGUGUGGUGAAUUGUACUA